AGAAUGAACGUUGGCGGCGUGGAUUAGGCAUGCAAGUCGAACGGACUUGGUAGCAAUACCAGGUCAGUGGCGCAAGGGUGAGUAAGGCGACGGCAACCAACCCCAUGGUUGGGCAUAGCCGCGGGAAACUGCGGGUAAUUCCCAGCGAUGUUCGUGUCGGGCAUCCGACGUGAACCAAAGUAACAACGCCGUGGGACGGGCCGUCGUGGUAUUAGGUAGUUGGCGGGGUAACGGCCCACCAAGCCUAUGAUGCCUACCGGGCGUGCGAGCGUGGCCCGGCACACUGGGACUGAGACACUGCCCAGACUCCUACGGGAGGCUGCAGUCGAGAAUCUUCGGCAAUGGGCGCAAGCCUGACCGAGCGACGCCGCGUGGAGGAUGAAGGCCUUCGGGUUGUAAACUCCUGUCGAGGGGGAGAAGUCCCGAUGCGAAUCGGGAUUGACCGAUCCCUGGAGGAAGCACGGGCUAAGUUCGUGCCAGCAGCCGC
rnacentral:rRNA from 1 species